rnacentral:rRNA from 1 species
AGGGUCUGACUCCGGAGAGGGAGCCUGAGAAACGGCUACCACUUCUAAGGAAGGCAGCAGGCGCGCAAAUUACCCAUUCUCAGAACGAGGAGGUAGUGACGAAAAAUACCAAGGUGAGGCUCAUUGAGUUUCGCCAUUGGAAUGAGAACAAUCUAAAUCCUUUAACGAGGAUCUAGUGGAGGGCAAGUCUGGUGCCAGCAGCCGCGGUAAUUCCAGCUCCGCAAGUGUAUUCCUAUACUGUUGCGGUUAAAAAGCUCGUAGUUGGAUCUGAGUGUUUAGCGCUUGGUGCAGUUCUGCUGUUACUGAGUGCGGCACAUAAUCGCCAAUUGGUUGCCACUGUUGCCUUAACCGGUGAUGGUGGUUGACUGUUGGCAUGUUUACUUUGAACAAAUCAGAGUGCUCAAUACGGGCGUUUCGCUUGUAUGGUCGUGC